rnacentral:lncRNA from 1 species
CAGGAGUGUGGACCCUGCACGGUCCCCCCCCGGUCAAUCCAUGCUCUGUCCCCUCAGAAAUCCUUCAAUUUAGGGGGUAUGGCUGCCCCAUAGAUGCAUCCUAUGGGUCUGCCCCAUAGCUCUGCCCCAUAGCGACCCACAGCGCCCCACAGAUCCGCCCCACGGCGACCCAUAGAUCCACCCCCAUCAGUUUUCCCUCUUCCCCACCUCAUUUCGGGCUCCAUCCCUUCAUAGAUCCUUUGAUUGAGGGGGUAUUUCUGCCCCAUAGAUUCACCCUAUGGGUCUGCCCCAUAGCUCUGCCCCAUAGCGACCCACAGAUCCGCCCCACGGCGACCCAUAGAUCCACCCCACUCAGUUUUCCCUCUUCCCCAGCUCAUUUCGGGCUCCAUCCCUUCAUAGAUCCUUUGAUUGAGGGGGUAUUUCUGCCCCAUAGAUUCACCCUAUGGGUCUGCCCCAUAGCUCUGCCCCAUAGCGACCCACAGAUCCGCCCCACGGCGACCCAUAGAUCCACCCCACUCAGUUUUCCCUCUUCCCCAGCUCAUUUCGGGCUCCAUCCCUUCAUAGAUCCUUUGAUUGAGGGGGUAUUUCUGCCCCAUAGAUUCACCCUAUGGGUCUGCCCCAUAGCUCUGCCCCAUAGCGACCCACAGAUCCGCCCCACGGCGACCCAUAGAUCCACCCCCAUCAGUUUUCCCUCUUCCCCAGCUCAUUUCGGGCUCCAUCCCUUCAUAGAUCCUUUGAUUGAGGGGGUAUUUCUGCCCCAUAGAUUCACCCUAUGGGUCUGCCCCAUAGCUCUGCCCCAUAGCGACCCACAGAUCCGCCCCACGGCGACCCAUAGAUCCACCCCCAUCAGUUUUCCCUCUUCCCCAGCUCAUUUCGGGCUCCAUCCCUUCAUAGAUCCUUUGAUUGAGGGGGUAUUUCUGCCCCAUAGAUUCACCCUAUGGGUCUGCCCCAUAGCUCUGCCCCAUAGCGACCCACAGAUCCGCCCCACGGCGACCCAUAGAUCCACCCCCAUCAGUUUUCCCUCUUCCCCAGCUCAUUUCGGGCUCCAUCCCCUCAGAAAUCCUUUGGUUUAGGGGGUAUUUCUGCCCCAUAGAUUCACCCUAUGGGUCUGCCCCAUAGCUCUGCCCCAUAGCGACCCACAGAUCCGCCCCACGGCGAC